GGAGAUAUGGGGGGUGGCGACAGUAGAGAGGGAGAGAGGAGGAAGAAUGGCAUUAGUGGCAGAGGUGGAGGUGGUGGUAAAGGAACAGCAGCAAUGGUGGUGAAGAUGCGGCGAAAAUGAUAGGAGGAGGUAAUAUGGUGACGGUCGAAGGAACGGUGGCAGUGCUGGCGAUGAUGGGGUCACCAGUGGUGGGGGGGGGUGGCCCGGGUGGGUGGUGAUGGAAGAGAGAAUUGGGUGUGUUUUUGAUAUUAUGGGGUGCGUUUUUGGUAUUUUACAUAUGUUAGGUAUUUUAGAAAGUUUCUGUAGCUAAAAUUGAAGUAACAAAAAAACCUUUGUCUAAAACAAACAUGCAAAAAACACACAUUAAACGGACCACUCCCAACAUAACACGAGUACGUAGGUACUGUUCAACUAUGACUUCUGCCAAAGGUUUUGAAUCUAUUUCAUAUUUAAUUUCGACCACACAAAAUUCAAAUAGGACGCUGCUAACCAUAAACUCUACUCUAUAAUUACUUCUGGUAAUUGUUGAGAGUGCCAUCAUUCAAUACUUUUUUUUUUUUUUUGAUACAGGGAUGUCCUGAUCUUGUGAAUUAGAUUAAUUUCUUGCCGUCGGUAAUUAUCAAUAAGGGUCGAACUGAGAACUUGCCGCUGAAGAGCGGAUGAUGGAACCAGACGAACUGCCUGUUGGGGACGCCAUCAUUCAAUACUUGUUGUCUGAAAAUCAAACUCGUUAGCUGACCUGAAAAGAUACCAUUUACUUGCAAUUUGUCUUACUUUCCGUCCAUCUCUUCUGGUUAAUUUUUCUUCCAAUAAUGCAAGUGGAAUCAAUAAAGAAUAUGUACAGUGGAACAACCCCUUUUUUUUUUGUUUGUUUCUUUUUUGUUUAUGCAAAUGAAAUGAUAUGAUUCUGUUCAAACUAUGUGGUCAGUCUAGUCAUUAGUGGCAUGAAGUCAAAAUAUUCAGUUUGGAACUAUAUGCCUACAUAGUAGCAGAAUUUCGGGAGCCAAAUAGAAGAUGGACACAUUCGUGAGUGAGUCUGGUCCUAGGCACCAUGGACAUGCUUGAAAAUGGCACUAUACACAAGAGUCUAAAUAAGACAAAAGCACCCAAGUGAUAAUGUCAAUUUUGAAAAAGGUUG
rnacentral:lncRNA from 1 species